UCAAAAGCUGGAUCCUGCUCUCUAACUACAGGGAACUCAAAGGGUGGUGAGGCAGGAUGGUCUGGGGAGGGAGACCUAGGAGCUCUACUGGAUUGACCUCUAAAAUAUGAGUGCCUACGGGCUGUGGAUUUUCUACCCAUUCUAAAACACAGCAGCUAAAGAGGCAAUGAAAGAAACAAACAGAAAAUAAAAUACCAACCCAUAAGCAAUUCAUUAUCACAAAACUCAAUCCAUAAACCACAGUAACACAAACUAGUCAUAUAACUGUUAUUGCACCACAUCCAUAUUCAGAACUAAAAAUAUUAACAGUUUUUAUAUAUGAAUCCAGCUAAUCAGUAAAAUAAUCCAGCUAACAGCAUAUUGAUACCCAGCUAACAGUAAAAUAAUUCAUCUAACAGCAUAUACAGAGCAACAGAAAAUUAGCCAGCAGAGUUUACAUAUACUCAUGGCAACAGAUAACCCAGCUAACAAAGAGCAACAAGUAAAAAAAAAUAUAACAGGCAGUUUUCAUAAAGAUAUCAACAACCCAGCUAUCAAUGUAGAUAUAAAGACAGCAACAGAAAAAAAAAAA
rnacentral:lncRNA from 1 species